AUUCAGAGAAACCAAAGAAAGAGGUCUCAGAAAAGAGAGAGCCUAACCUCACCGCCGAAGCUCGCUGUAGCGGUCACUGCCGCCCUCGCCGCCGCAGUUCAGAUCAAGGCUCACGAACUCGCUCUUUGACUCAGAUCCUUCUUGCAGCUCCGAUCUGCUCCUUCAGAUAUCGCCGAGUCGACUCGUUCGCAGCUUCAAUUUAUUGUGCUCUCUCUUACAACUCCUUCAUUUCAUUCUCUUACAAUAGUAGAUGAACUCCAGGGACAUAAUGUCAUACUUAGGGACUUCAUUGAGCAACUAACAGCUAUAGAAUCAUCUAGAGCUAGCCUUGUAUCUCAUCUGAGAGAGGCUUUACAGGAACAGGAAUUCAAGCUGGGUCAACUCCGAAGCUAGAUUCAGGUGGGAGUUCAAGAUCUUAUUGGUCAACAAAAAAUAAAAUGGAGAUUGAGCAUGAGGCUGAUCAAGAAAGAUGCUUUUUUUCCUUCUAUUGGGAAGCCAUUUGACAAAGAAGAAGCAUUUCUAAUAGAUGAUAAAGCAUGGUUGCAAACCCAUUGAUAUGUGCUCUUUAAUUGUGCUUCUAAAGUGGUUGAAGAUUAUAGAAAUGAACAUGUUAGUGAGAUUAAGAGAACACAUCGCAAGCGCCGCCUUUCUCCACAUCAACUUGAUCGCUUGCAUUUUAUUUCAUUUCAUGAAUGGUUCAAGGAUGAAAUUAACAAGUUGGAUAUCACAUUUGGUACGCAAAGUGAUAUAAGAACCCUUUUACGAGGUCCAAGUUACAUUGCAAAACGAUUCAAAGGUUUUGAUUUGAACAAUGGGUAUUGAUUUCGAACAAAGAAGCAUGAAGAGUCUAAGGCAACACAAAAUUCUGGUGUCAUGGUUGUCUCAAAGGUGAUUAGCUAUGCAAGUGCAAGUGAUAAUGCUCCCAAGUUGGGAAAUAUCAAUUAUUAUGGAAGAUUGACUGAUAUUAUAGAGUUAAAUUACUUUGAAGAAUUUAAGGUUGUCUUGUUUAAAGUGACUGGGUUGACAUAACCAAAGGUAGAGGAGUUAAGAAAGAUUACUUGAGUUUCACAUUAGUGAACUUUUCACGCUUAAUACAUACCGGUGAUCAAGAGAGUGAUGAAUCUUUUGUAUUUACAAACCAAGCUCAACAAGUGAUAUUUGUGAAAGAUCCUCAUGAUCAUGAAUGGUUUAUCCCUAGGCUAAUUAGUUCUCGAGACAUAUAUAAUAUGGGAGAAAAGAAAAUCAUGCAGUUUGAGCAAUUAAUGCAAAAUGAUAAUGGUGACUUAAUUUUGUUAGAAGAAAUUCGUCACUUUGAGGAUGAGAAUAAUGAUUGGGUUAGAAGUGGGGUUAAUGGAAUAGUAAUUGAUUAUGGACAUUCACCAAAUCAAACUGAUGACAAUUUUGAGUAAGUUAGGUAAUAUUUUGAGAA